rnacentral:rRNA from 1 species
UUUAACGGCCGCGGUAUCCUAACCGUGCAAAGGUAGCGCAAUCAAUUGUCCCAUAAAUCGGGACACGUAUGAAUGGCUAAACGAGGUCUUAACUGUCUCUUACAGGCAAUCGGUGAAAUUGAUCUCCCUGUGCAAAAGCAGGGAUAACCCCAUAAGACGAGAAGACCCUGUGGAACUUCAAAAACAGCAACCACCCCAAUAUACAUUCACACCCACCCCGGGCGCACUUAUUCCUAAAGCACUGGUUCGCAUUUUUUCGGUUGGGGCGACCUUGGAGCAAAACAAAACCUCCAAAAAUUGGACCAUUCCUCCAGACUAAGAGCAACUCCUCAACGUGCCAACAGCACCCAGACCCAAUAUAAUUGAUCAAUGGACCAAGCUACCCCAGGGAUAACAGCGCAAUCUCCCCCGAGAGUCCAUAUCGACGGGGAGGUUUACGACCUCGAUGUUGGAUCAGGACAUCCUAGUGGUGCAGGAGCUACUAA